rnacentral:lncRNA from 1 species
ACAUCCUGAGCCGCGAGACUAUCUGACCUGGCCCGGCGACAUUUACCAGCCGGCCCGGCCGCAUUCCAUAACUGGCCCCGCCGAAUCCCGACAUGCCCGGGCCAAAUCCCCUACCUGGCCCGGCCACAUCCCUACCGAGAUCCCCAGCUGCCCUAGCCUAAUCCCCCAUCUGGCGCAGCCGAAUCCGCACCUGCACAACAGCACAAGCCAGCUGACCUACUUGGCUGGGCCCUAUUGCUUCGCUUGUCCACGCUGAAUGCUCAACCCGGGCCCGGCAGCAUCUCGGGCGCCGUCACCCGCCCCAUCACACCUUCCCCUAGGCCUACACCGUGGGCCUAACCCCUAGUCCUACCACCUUCACCACCUGCGCGCCCACGCACCUCCUUCAUCACGCACCUCCUUGCCUUAAGUACAUUGCCUUCAUGGUCCCAACCGCCCUGUGCUCCAAGACUCCGCCCGUCGCCUCCAAUCGCCAACAUGCUGCCGGCAGCAGACGUUAGCGAAGUGUUUGCUAGUGAAUGCGAAUGCAAGACGCCGUCGCGAGCUCCAGGCUAGCAAUAAACAUCACGAAAGAAGUUAGUGUCAGCGGCAAUGCGGUUACUUGUUACCUUCGAGACGAGACACUGGUGCGCGCUCCACGCUGCUCCGCAUUCGGCACGCCAAACGGAGUCCGAGUGUCGUGGAGACUGCUGCCGCUUGCAGGGGCGGACGUGUUCCAGCUCGCAACUAGGCUGCUGCCAUUCGCCGCGACAACGCGUAACCCACAAAAUGCACCCACCUGGAACGGAGCCAGACGUUAACACAGUUGUGAAAGAUGUUCUCCGUCGUCCACUAUGCAAAGGCAUUUCUAGACAUAUUCUACGAAAUGGGAAGCGCAAGUGGUGUCGGUCCCAACCGUGGGCUGUGGACGUGUGGAGGCCGCCGCCGGUCCCCAACCCCUAUCCCCACCCCCGGAGAUCAUGACACCGGUAUCCGGCGGAUCCAGGGGCUGCAUCUCCUUACUUGCAUGCACCGUGGGCCUAACCCCUAGUCCUACCACCUUCACCACCUGCGCGCCCACGCACCUCCUUCAUCACGCACCUCCUUGCCUUAAGUACAUUGCCUUCAUGGUCCCAACCGCCCUGUGCUCCAAGACUCCGCCCGUCGCCUCCAAUCGCCAACAUGCUGCCGGCAGCAGACGUUAGCGAAGUGUUUGCUAGUGAAUGCGAAUGCAAGACGCCGUCGCGAGCUCCAGGCUAGCAAUAAACAUCACGAAAGAAGUUAGUGUCAGCGGCAAUGCGGUUACUUGUUACCUUCGAGACGAGACACUGGUGCGCGCUCCACGCUGCUCCGCAUUCGGCACGCCAAACGGAGUCCGAGUGUCGUGGAGACUGCUGCCGCUUGCAGGGGCGGACGUGUUCCAGCUCGCAACUAGGCUGCUGCCAUUCGCCGCGACAACGCGUAACCCACAAAAUGCACCCACCUGGAACGGAGCCAGACGUUAACACAGUUGUGAAAGAUGUUCUCCGUCGUCC